AGAGUUUGAUCAUGGCUCAGAAUCAACGCUGGCGGCGUGCCUAACACAUGCAAGUCGAGCGAGAAAAGGGGGGCAACUCCCUGAGUACAGCGGCGCACGGGUGAGUAACACGUGGGUAAUCUGCCCUGGAGUGGGGAAUAACACCGGGAAACCGGUGCUAAUACCGCAUACGAUCACGAGGUCUGCGGAUUUUGUGAUGAAAGGAGCAAUUCGCUCUAGGAGGAGCCCGCGGCUGAUUAGCUAGAUGGUGAGGUAAUGGCUCACCAUGGCUACGAUCAGUAUCCGGUCUGAGAGGACGGUCGGACACACUGGAACUGAGACACGGUCCAGACUCCUACGGGAGGCAGCAGUGGGGAAUUUUUGGCAAUGGGGGCAACCCUGACCAAGCAACGCCGCGUGGGUGAUGAAGUCUCUUGGGACGUAAAACCCUUUCGACGGGGACGAAACCGCAAGGUUGACGGUACCCGUAGAAGAAGCCCCGGCUAACUCCGUGCCAGCAGCCGCGGUAAUACGGGGGGGGCAAGCGUUGUUCGGAAUUACUGGGCGUAAAGGGCGCGUAGGCGGUUUGCUAAGUCGGAUGUGAAAACUCUGGGCUCAACCCAGAGCCUGCAUCCGAAACUGGCAGGCUAGAGUUCUGGAGGGGGUAGCGGAAUUCCUGGUGUAGCGGUGAAAUGCGUAGAUAUCAGG
rnacentral:rRNA from 1 species